UCCUCUCGAGCAUUGUUACUCUCUUGUUCAGCCUUCUCUAGGCUCAGCCUCAGUCUCCUGAUGUCCUCUUCUGAUCUUAGGAUUGCCUUCGUCAUCUCGUUCUGUAUAUCCAGCCUCGCUUCCUGCUCUUUCAGAAGCUGUUGUUCCAUCCUCAGGAUUGUACCGUUUAGCUUUUCUUCUACCUAUUGAAUCAUAUGCAGAAUCAGAUCAGGUAUUUAAUCAAUAGGAAUAAUAAAACGAGAUCAAACAAGAGAAAUUAAAAUAUCAAUGGUAAUUUAAUAGAAGCUCACCUGAAUCUGAGUAAACAGCUGAUUUGAAAAUGGUUUCCCAUGAUUGCUUGAUACGACAAAGUCCACUGCAUCAAGCAUUUUUUUCCGCUGCGCCUGGCGGUCCUGAGUACUACUGGUCUUAUUCUCGAAAAGAACCACCCUAUUUUCAAACAACUUGAGAAUGUCCUGUAAACAAAAUCACGCUCAAAUAAUAACAUAUUUUUCCAACUGGUCUCCCCACCUACUUCAUCUCCGCGUGUGAAAACCAAUAUCAUAUGGUCAAGGAUUUUAUCGCCGAAGAACGAUUUCAGAGUCUCGAUCGUCUUCUCAUCUUCACAGGAAAAGCGAGAUGUUGCUGAAAAAACCAUGAGCAUCGCAUGUAUCCCAUCUUUGGCCAUGUCCAUACACUUGACGAUCUCUCUACGCACAUCCUCAGCUUUAAUGUCCAUGUCGAAUAAACCUAUCCGAGCAAGAGAGCACGAGCAGCAGCCAUCCUGAACCGUGGUGCUCUUCUUCUGGCAGGUUUGCGUGACACCGGCAUAGGAACACUUGGACUCGAACGCUUCGUCUCCAAGGAUGCUGUUCGCCGUCGCGCUCUUCCCGGAGCCGACCUUCCCGACGAGAACGAGUGUGACGUCGGC
rnacentral:sRNA from 1 species